AAUGAUUAUCACGUUUCUCUCGAGAAUAAAUCCUGUCGACGCCGAUGUAAACGAUUGACAAUCAAAAGCGAGAAACGAGAAUCGAGUUCUCGGUCGAUCGUGCACGCUCGCGUGCAGCUGCAGAUUGGGUAUCUCGUACUGACAGAAUAGAAUAGAAUAUGGAAGGAAUCUAACGCGCGGCGGGCCGUGUACGCGGAUAUCCAUCGCGGCGUGCAUGUAAAGCGCAUAAAAGCCGAUCAGAGUGAAGCGGUACGAGGCUCGUAUUCGCGGCGUUAUACAUGUUCGUUUAAUGCUUCGCGACGCGCGUCGAAUCCGGAAAGAGUCCGCGUGAUUGCGAGCGAAAAUGUGGCUCGAUAGACUACAUUCUUGACUCACUUACUCAAUUGAUAGAGCCGGAACUGGAGAAUUGAAUAUCUUCAUUUUACGGAUAUUUUAUUAUUAUUAUUAUUAAUAGAAAAAGCAGCGUUACUAAUAUAAUUCAUACGCAAGUUAAGUCGCCACCGGGAGAAUUUAAUACGUUAUCGGAUUUCCAAGUCUCCAGUCACAAGCGGUCACUGUGAUCAUCCAGAAAUCGUUUCCUUGCACAAGAGCGAGGUUAAACGGAGAGAGAACGUCUGCGUGGAUGGAUAGAUAAGUGGAGCGAUAAGGUGGUAUGGAUAUGGCAAUGACUUCGCAGAAUAAUGGUAUAGAUCGCUAAGUAGGUGUAUGCAUGGCUGUUUGAAUAAGUAGAUCUUAGCGAGAGUCUCGAAAGUCAAUAAAUUUUGACAGUAUCUAUUUUAUCCGAGCGAGAGAAAAUGAACGAACAAAUUGAGAUUGCGAAAUAACAGUUGCAAUAUUAUAAAAAUAUUUAAAUAUAAAAAAAACGGAAAAAUAAAAUAUCUGCA